GUAAUUCGAAUAAGUACAAUUUAAAUUAUUUAACGAGGACUAAUUGGAGGGGAAGUCUGGUGCCAGCAGCCGCGGAAACUCCAGCUCCAA
rnacentral:ncRNA from 1 species